UGAUUGAUAGAUUCGUAGUAUCUUCCAAGUUGGAAUUGGAUUAAUAUGAUCUUCAGCGAUCGAAUGAUUCAUCUAUACAUAUACCGCACAAAUCAGUGAUUGAUUCUUUGCUUGCUUAAAUGUGCAGAACAAGAUGAAGGUCAAUAUCAAUGCCUCCAUUGGCAUCCGUUUACCAUGUCAACUAUUCAUGUCUGACCAAAAUAAUAGAAACAAUAUAUAUGUAGAGAUGUUAAAGUAAGCAACUUGAUACAUAGAUUUUUGAAUUCAACUUGUUAUUUGUGUUCAUAAAUAGGUGUACUUUUUCCCCUUUGGGUUUUUUUCGGAUAUUCUUGUCAUUUUUACAAGCCAUCUCUUGUAAAUGCAUUCAUGAGAGCGAUGAAAGUACAAAUUCAGGUCUAUGUUUUUCGUUUCUCAUUUCACAGGAUGUCUCUAAGGCCAUUUAAUCAAUUUUGUG
rnacentral:lncRNA from 1 species